rnacentral:lncRNA from 1 species
UGCUAUUGAAUUUUGACUUUUGGAAUGUGUACUUGCAUUCAAAACCGGGAAUCUCAAACCCGGGAUAUGACCCGAGACUGAAACCAUUUCGAAACCCGAGUAGCUGUACCCGUCAUUAAAAAGCCGACCCUUCUCUCUCCCACUCUCUCACCCCUAUUCCAUUUCUCUCUCUCUCUCUGAACACUCGUCUCUGUGGCUCUCUUUUUCUCUCUAUCGCUAUUUCAUCUCAGAUCCAAUCAUCCGCUGUAAGUCAUUACACCUCUAAUUUCAAUUUCCUUUUAGAUCCCUAUUUUUUUGUUCAGAAAAUGGAUAGAAGGAUUUUUUAUUUUUGUUUUUAUUUAAGCCCAGUUGCGGCUUUUGAGUGUUCUUUUUAUUAUAGAAUAUUGUGAAGACUAAAAUUUAAGUCUGUCACAGCGGAACUCAAUUUUGUAAUCUAUCUGGAUUGAUUUAAUUUUGGUUCUGGAUUGAAUUAAUUUGGUUUUAAUUGAUUGAUUAAUUAAUUGAUUCUGUUUGUAUUUAUUAUUUGAGAGUCGGGUAAUUAUAAUUGCUGAAAUGUGCGCGAACUGUUUGUUCUGGAUUAUAUGUUUUAAGGGUUUGACUUUGGAUUGGGUUGGUAAAAGUGGGUUUUAUUCUAAAGAAAAGUUGUUUUUAGCUAGAUUUCGAUUUUUUAGAACUUUUGUUUUUUCAAUUAUUUAAUUUAAAAAUUUACCUCCUAGAUAUUAUAUUCAGCGAGUUGGAUUUUGAGACACUGUUAAUCUGCCAUCACAUUUCAUUUGAAUUAGGCUUAUAUUAAUUUGGUCUUAGUUUCUGUUUGACAUAUGUAAGUAUUUGUGUUCAAGCUCAGAAAAUAUCUAACUACACAAUAUUCAAGUUUUUUUAAGCAACCAUGGGUGACGAAGGAGAAAAGACUUGCCCCCUCUGUGCUGAGGAGAUGGAUUUGACUGAUCAGCAGUUGAAGCCUUGCAAGUGUGGCUAUGAGGUAACUACUUCUAUCUCAUCAUAUUUUGAUGCCUUAAAUUGCCAAAACCUCAAGGUUUCUGGAAUCCACACAGUCCCACAACUGUCCAUUGUGCCCCUUUUUGAAUUGUAUGGAAUUCAGCAUCCUAUGCCAUUAAUGCAAAAAGUCUAAUGGUAAUCACCUUAAAGUUGACUAGUGUACAUUAGCUUAUGUUCGAUUUUGUACCAAUAUAAAAACGAGGAAAUAACAAGAAGGUAGAGACUGAAGCUGUUGUUGUUAGGAUCUAUUUGUGUGAGAUAACUGUCUUUUCUUUAUCAAUCAUUUGUAUGCUUUGCAGCUUCAGAUUUUACACCAUCUAAUUUCAGCAUGACUGAGAUUUUAUGCCAUAUAAGUAGGAUUAGGAUGGAAACUUUUUGAGUUACUUUUUUGAUAUAUAAAAAUGAACGUUCAAGCGUCAUGAAGUUGGUAUUGCCUGAAAAGGCAUAAACUUGAUAAAACUUUUUUAACAUCUUCGUUUGUAAGUCUUGUGGAAACAUGAAUAGUUAGAUCUGAAUACGAUAUUUUAAUGGCAUGUAGUACUUCCUUAGACAGAGAGAUGUGCUAUGAGCAAUAGCUGUCUGAUUUUUAUGCCCUGUUUCAUUGACAUAGUGAAUGAGAGAAUAGGCGGAUGUUGUCUGGUUUUAAAUCUAUUGGCUAGAAAUACCCUUUUAAAAGCUGUUAGUAUAGUUUACUAUUCUCCGUGGGUGCUCCCACAUACAUGCGUUCAUGUGACAUUGUGAUUAGUAUUCUGGGAACCAAAAAAUUUCAUAUGAAACAACAAUGCACUUUAGGUGCAACACUGCCGGCCCACAACUGCUUCACGAUUCAAUACUGGUGCUUGACCCUUAUCUCAUUAAUCAGCUAUGAAUUCUGCAUGAUGAUAACUACACUGACAUCAUUGCCAUUAGUUCAUCUUGCCCUACGCCUUUAUGGUGCAGGACUGACUAAAAAUGAGAUAAAUGUGUGUGCAUUGCGAUGAAAACCUAGAUUAAAUUAAGGUUAACAUGGCAGUAGAAGUCUCUAGUUGAUGAUUAUAGAAAUAUAUUGGGAUUGAUAUUAGCUUCCCGGAAACUUAAUUAAGUUCAUGAGAUUCUUUGUUUAGAUUGAGUAAUAAGUAAAAUAAGGUUAUCAUCUAUCUGAGUUGCAAUUGCUUCAAUAAUAAAGGGUAUUGAGAAUUUAUCUGCCUCAUCAACUAGGCAAAAUAUCUCUCCCUUAGCCAGCUCUUCAAACAAGUGUUGUGGGGGCAGGGAAAUAUUAAUUAUGUUUGUUCCUUUUCCUUUUGUUCACUUUUUGAGGGUGUCUGUUUUUGGUAUUUUCAUUUUAUUUCAGUGGUGGGUGGAUGUGGAAAGUUGCCAUUUCUCCCUCCCACUAGCACACUCUGGUAGGAAUUUUAAAUUAUUGACCAGUGAAUUGUAAUCUUGAAAUAAAGUUCAUUUCCCAUCUAUUCAAGGAUCUUGCUACAGAAUGUUUAAUUAGGAUUUUGUGGUGAAAUAUAUGAUUUUUGAUGCUAUGAUCUUAUGCUUUUAUAGACAAUUUUUCAAAGAAAGCAACUGGCUUUAAAUAUUCAUCUGAAAAUUCUUAUCUCAGUCGACUGGAAGUUUCUGAAAAGAUGAACUAUGGUUUCUUUGAGCUUGCAGAAAAUCUGCUUCUAUAUUUGAUUUGUAAUUUUAUAAACUGUCAUCCAACACAUUAAAUAAAGAAUACACAGCAACUUUACUGUGGAAAGAAGCUGCAGAAGUUUCAGUGCCCCCAUUCUUGUUCUUUUUCUUUUUCUUUCGCUGAGAAGAUCACACAAAAUGAUGUUGAACUUGCUUGUGGUUCUUUAGAUACUUCAUGAAGUUGUAUUGUCAAAUUGUUGAUUUCCACCCAUGAUUUCUAUACAGGGCUAUUUUUAUUUGAUCUUUCUCAUAUACAACUAUAUUUGUGCAUGUCGAGAUUCUGUAUUUUAUUAUUAUUAUUAUUUUAUUUAUUUAUUUAUUUUUUUGCAAUUUUGUAGAUUUGUGUUUGGUGCUGGCAUCAUAUUAUGGACAUGGCUGAGAAAGAUGAGACAGAAGGGCGGUGUCCAGCAUGUCGUACACCUUAUGACAAAGAAAAGAUUGUUGGCACGGGAGCAAACUGUGAAAGGUAAUUCACUAUUGGUAUUUAAGAUGAAAUCUGCCGUGAAAACUCUUGCUGAUCGAGCAAGGUAAUUAUGUUGUUCUCUGAUAUCAUCAUGAUCUCCAUGAUCAUCAUAAUAGGUUGGUUUCUGAGAUGAGUACGGAGAAAAAAUUUAAGUCACAAAAGGGUAAGAGCAAAAUAUCGGAGGGAAGGAAGCAACUUAGUAGUGUAAGAGUUGUCCAAAGGAAUCUUGUUUAUGUUGUGGGGUUGCCAGUUAAUUUAGCAGAUGAAGAUGUAAGUGCCUCUUCUGUCAUUGCUCUUUCCCGUCCUUCUCUUUUCAUGUUCUCAACACUAUUGAUUUAUUUUGAAGCAGCUCCUCCAGCGUAAAGAAUAUUUUGGCCAGUAUGGAAAGGUGGUGAAGGUGUCUAUAUCGCGGACAGCAGCUGGUGCCAUACAACAGUUUGCAAAUAGUACAUGCAGUGUGUAAGUUUCUUCAAAUGAUGCCAAGUCAUUUUUCUACAAGUAUAAUAGUGUUCAAGUUCAAUUAUAAUGAUUUUGGUGUUAAACUUUUAGAAGUUAUGUAGGACAUUUAGGAUGGGUUUGGAGCCUUGCUGCAGGAUGAUUAUGUAUAUCUGAUGUGUAAAUCUUGAGUUCCAUUGGAAACGAACAUGAUAUGUUGUUUUAUUUUCAAAUACACAGGUGUUAAAAACGGAAUUUUAUUCCAUUUAAAUUACUUUUGCAGCAAAUGAACUUUGAAUAUGUUAUACGUCCAAUUUUGUCUACAUGUCAGUGAAGCAUUGGCCGCAUAUCCUAUAUCUUUACCUGUGUUGUAUGUGUCGCUCUAGUGUAUAAUGUACCUUGAGCGCUCCGUAAUGUUACAUUUAACUUAGUCAUGAAUUAUUUUAGCUUAUUUAAAUCUUGCCCUUUUUUGGUUCCUUUUGGCCUAGAUAUAUAACUUAUUCAAAGGAGGAAGAAGCAGUGCGCUGCAUCCAGUCUGUACAUGGAUUCAUUUUGGAGGGUAGAUCUUUGAGGCAAGUGUAACUCUAUAUUUGUGUUCUGGUCUCUUUUUGAGUUGGUGGAUAGUUGUUUGAAGUUUUAUGUUGCAGGGCAUGCUUUGGAACGACUAAAUACUGUCAUGCGUGGCUGAGAAAUGUGGUAUGAUUGCUGAGUCAUUUUCAAUAUUGGAUUUUUCCGUAUUACGUAUAUACUCGAAUAUGUAACUAUAGCAUAUUGCUGUCAUACACGGUGUCUCAUAUUGAAUUAUUUCUUUUGUUGUCCAGCCUUGCAGCAACCCUGAUUGUCUAUAUUUGCAUGAGAUUGGUUCACAAGAGGAUAGUUUUACUAAGGACGAAAUAAUAUCCGCUUACACAAGGUGUUUUCAUAUUGUUAUGCACCCAGUUAUAUAUUUUCAUUUUCAUUAUAUGCUUUUGGAUCUAUGGUGAAAGUAGUAAAUUUUUCAUGUGGACCUUUUAGUCUUGUUUACUUAGAAUGCAAUCGCCGAUGUUUUUGGUAUCUGCCCAUCCCUUCGGGCCAACCUUUUAAGUCUUUAUUCAUCAUCAGCUUGUUGCAUAAUGAUCAAACAUCAUGCAAUUAUCUAUUGGUUGAUUCAUUUAUGGACUUUUUUAAGUCAUUAGUCAAUGUACAAUGAAAUAAAAUGUUGUUUGGUACGUGUAAUGUUUGAAAUUUCAUUGAUCAUCAAUUCAAGGUUUGAGAUGCCUCUAUGAGUCUCAAAUGAGAAUGUCAUGAUUGUCAUCUCAACAUUUAUAGAGUAACAAUUGAAGUUCUAAGUGGCACCUGUUUUUCCUGGCAAAGACUGAAUUAGUACAGUAUAUUUUUAUUAUUUUUGCCCUGGGUUACAUGUUGACUGAAGACUCCAUUUCCUAUGCAGUUUUCUUGAAACCCCAAUUACAAUGUUUUUUCUUGGAGCUUAUCUUGAGUCGAAAACUUGAUUUUUGUUUAUGGAUGAAAAUUGUGGUUUUGCCCUCUCAAUUGGUAGUUUCUUAAUUUGUUGAGGAGUUUUGUUUUGUUAAUCUAAAUUUGGAGUUUAAUAUGUGUGCGCGCCGGUGCGCAUGCGCUCAAGUUUGUAUGUUUUAGGGGUGAGGGGGCGGGGAUAUUUUUAUUAUUUUUAUAUGCAAGAGUAUUUGGAAAAGAUGCAUUCUUACAUAUCAGUUUUUGUUCCUUUUUCUCCUAGCUAAUUUUCUUGUUUUUGUGGUGUUCUGUAUCUCCAAUUAUAUCAUGUUCAGCUUUUUGUUGGAUUUUUUUAUUGGUUCUUCUGGAUAACUUAGCUAAUGAUUUUAAAGGAGUAGAGUUCAACAAAUUAUUGGUGCAACAAAUAGUGUGCAACGGCAUUCAGGAAGUGCGUUACCACCCCCAGCAGAUGACUACUGCAGUGGCAGCUACGUUUCUUCCGGGAAGCCUUUAAGUAAAACUGCUACAUAUACAAAUGUAAGAUUCUCAUUUUUUACCAAACUAUCUGACUUUUUACAAACUUUGACGCUGUGAAGAGUCUUCAAAAUACAUUCUGGAAAUAUUUCAGUUGUCGUUUGUUGUACAAACAUAUGCACAUCUAUUAUAUGGUACUGUUCUGUGGAAUUUUAGUUUGUAUUUCUUGUGGAAAUGGUGAUCUAAGCAUUGAUUGCUGCUGAAAUAUCCAGAUUUUUUUCCCUGCUAACAAAAAUUUUCUUCCUGAACAGAAUUCGGUGAAUGAUGCUAGAGUUUCUCCACCAAAUAGCAGCUCUGGUAGAUCUGCUGCUCUACCUAGUGGAGCCUCAUGGUAUGUCAAUUACUGAUCUGUAGUCUCUUUCAAUUUGUAUAUGAUGCUGUUUCUCAGCAUUCAAUUGUCUUCACUAGGGGGGCUCGUGCUUCCAGUAAUCAACACUUAUCCAAAAGUGUGCCAUGUUCCGAUGGACUACAUAAGCAGAAACUUGAUGCCUGCGAUGGUUCGGGGACAUUUUAUACGGCACUUGCUAGCUCUAGUCAGGUUUCUUUGUUGCAUAGUGACACUGAAAAGAAACUGGUUCCUAGUGAAGAAAGCAACACAAGUCGAGACAAAAGCAAACUGGAAACUGUAGAACCUGUGGAAAAGGAUUCGAGCACAGAUGGCAGAACUAUUUUGAACAGUUCCUCCACGUCUGUACUUUCUGUUACUUCACCUAUAAACAGGCAAAAUGGUCAACCUACAUCUAAGGACCAGGGUAGAGAUGCCAUCAUGCCACCUGGUGCCAAUGACUCAAUUGAUCAAUCCCUAAAGUCUCGUGGAUCUGAUUCAGACGAAGAUACCAACAUAUCUGCGGAUGGAAAAAUUGAAAAUAUAUGCUCUGAAAUUUGUUCAAUGAGCAUUGAUGGACAUCAGCAGUUGCAGAAUGGCUAUGCUGAGCACAUUGGAGAAACGUUGACAUCUCAAACUUCUGGGAAAUCUGCAUUACCGAUUGUUGAGGUUUAUGCCUCAAGUAGUCAGUCUCAGAUGAAAUUGGAAAUGCAGACGCACGCCUCGCAAGUUGACUCGCUUGAAAUGGAAGAUAAUCUAUUAUCUUUUGAAAAACAAAGACUUAAGGAUCCUGAGUUUUCUUCUAACAGAGUCUGUAGACUAGAUUUUUCUCACUCUUUUCAUCUUUCACAGUAUUCUAAUAUUGAUUCUCCACCGCAUGAUAGUGCUGAUGCUUCAGUCGGAGUCAAUGUGGAUAGGCAAAUUGUAUAUUCAAAAGACAAUUUGAUACUUUCAGCUUCUAGUAAUCCUGUUAUGUCAAAUGGACAUCACAAGAAUGAACUCAGUAGUUCUUCUGAGUUAGUGAAUGAUGGUGAAUAUACUUACUUCUUUCCAAGUAAUGAGAACGAAAGUAUACUUUUGGGAAGAUUUGAAGGUGAAGCAGCCAGUCAUAGUCAUCAUGCCACUGAUGAGGGGGAAAGCAGCAUAAUAUCAAAUAUUUUGUCCUUGGACUCUUACUCAUGGGACGAGUCAUUAACUUCACCUAAGCGCCUGUCUAAAUUGUUUCAUGAAACUGACGUACAACAAGGGUCUUUUGGAGUACCUAGUUCACGGAAAAUCCAGAAUAGCAAUCAAUCAAGGUUUUCUUUUGCUAGAGAAGAGGAACCUAUGAACCGAGCAUCGGACUAUGGACCAACUAUCAAUCAUGUCGAGCAAGCCCUUAAGGACCGCUCUUUUGGCAAUGAUUUCACCAACAUCAACAGCUUUCAUAUUGAGAAGUUAGGUUCUCACAAUAGGUUAUCUCCAUUUAAGGGCAUGGAGUCGGAUAAUUUUGCCAGCAGUCACUCUUAUAUCUCUUCUAACAAGCUUUCUGGUGAGUUGCUAUGUAUUCAUAUUAUAUACGGUGGUGUGAAGUUUAUUUUGUUGCUGAUUGUUGUUCGAAGUUUAUUCUUUUUGGACUUGCAUAUGUUUGUAACUUUCUUUAGAUUUUUAUCACAUGAGGGUACUUCAAGUUUCUUUUAAUAUAUUAGAUUUUAGUUGAUGUACCUAUCUCCAUUUCGUGUUAUCUUUUACCUGCCUGCAUUUCUUGAUGGUUUUGAUACUGAUUAGUGUAUUAUGUACUGUGAAUGGCUUUCCUUGUUUGGAAUUAGAGCUUUUAUUUUAUCAAGUUACUUUGAAGAUGCUAACUGCACACAUUUUUUUCUUAUGUAGUGUUCUAUUUUCUUCCCUCAAAAUGUUUUUUUCCUAAUGCCUUUUAACAGUUUCUAGAUCUCAAGUUUCUGCCCCUCCGGGCUUCUCGGUGCCUAGUAGGGCACCUCCCCCUGGUUUUAUUUCUCAUGAGAGGACAGAGCAGAUUUUUGACCCACCCUCUGGUCAGUUAAUUUAUGCCAAGCACUUUCUUGUUUUUGGGCUUCUAUUUCAUGUUAAAAAUCUUGUGUUUGAUUAUGAAUUAUCACUUUAUUAUGUGCUUGUGCAGGAAAUUAUAUGCCCAAUGCUUCGCUUUGGCCAAGAAAUCAGUAUCAGGCACCCCCAACUGGUGAUUCCAUUGAUAAUGGCGAACUUGAGUUUUUGGAUCCUGCGAUUUUGGCAGUUGGCAAAGGGAUGCUUCCUGGUAGACUCAACAGCUCAAGCUUGGAUACCAGAUUAAGUUAUUCUCCACAGUUUACUACACUUGAAGACAUAAGAUUCCAGUCCUUGUCACAAAGAUCAGUUCCUACGCAUCAAAACCAGAGAUAUACAGACCCGGUUGACAAUUUUUCUCCCCUUGGUGACGCUUAUGGAGUUCCCUCUAGGGUAAUGGAGCAAACCCUAGCCAACAACCUGUCCCCAUUUUCCCAGUUCACUCUCCCUCAGCCUAGAAAUGCUAUAACAUCCAAUGGACAAUGGGAUGGGUGGAAUUCGGUGCAGGGUGAGAAUAAUUUAGGUAUGGCAGAGUUACUCAGGAAUGAGAGAUUGGGAUUACCUAAGUACUACAAUGGUUAUGAAGAUUCAAAGAUCCGCAUGCUAAAUUCUGGAAAUCUAUAUAAUUGGGCAAAUGGGAUUUAAAUUUGGUUGAGGAGACUUACUUGGCACAGUUUGAACUGAUAAUACUGGUGAAAUAGGAAGAUCGUGUGUGACUUAGAGAAUGCCUGCUUUAAGGACUUCAAUGCUUGGCAAUCUGAUGACCUGAUCACUGUUAUCGACUAAACAACCUGAGGCCUUGAGCACAGAAAUGAUUGCAUUCGAAGGACAUGAGAGUGAUUCACUAGUAGUCUGAAUGGGUUGCUUUUAAGUUGGUGGAGGAUCAAGCCCUUUCAAAUAGGGAGUCCCAAACCGACAGGUAAAAUAUUGGCUCUCAUUUACAUGGUAAAUCAUGUUGAAUAGUUUAUGAGGCUGUUGUGCAUGUAUAUCGUGGGGAAAUAAUAAGUGAAGUAGAAUACUUGAAAGAAGAUUAGAGGCUAAAUGGUCACUCUUCUUUUUUGUCAAUUGAAAGAUGAAAUUAUUUUAUAUGAGAAAAGGAGGAGCAUUGAGUUUGUUGUACCAUUGUACACUUUCCACAAAGCAAACUUCUGCUGAUGGUUAUAUUAGACUUUGCAGAGAUUCCUUUAACUGAUUUUUUCCCCUUAUCCCCGUGUAUCUUUCUAGUCUUGGGAAGAUUAAAGAAUAGUUCUGAAGAAGUUAUAAACCCUGUAAUCCUAAUCCUUUUUAUACUUGAAAAACACAGAAGUAUAAUUCACCUCUCCCUUUUGCAUUACUCUUGUGGAUCUCAAUUUCCAUGAAACUUACGGAACAACAGAGUUUUGAGAUGUUAAUCCGGACAGGAAUAGGUUUUUUGGUUUGAAAUAUGUGCUCAUAUUAUUCAUUGCUUUUCUUUUUCCACCCAUUUUCAGGUAAAAGGAGCUUGAGAUUCAGGCUUAAUGUGAUGGCAGCACAAGGAAUGUUGUUCACGAUGAAAUCAGAAGGUGAUCAUUUUAUUCGUAAUGCUGAAGCUUGUUAGUUUGUUUGUGAAGUUGAGAAACUAGAGAGGUGAUUGGAAAUAUUUUCUUCAUAAUGACGAAAAUUGAUUUGUGUGGAGGCAAUUUCCGGAAAUGGAAUUAUGUUUACACAGUAUGUUUGCUUAUUUACUUGAGAAUGUACUCAAGAAAAUGAGUUUUCUUAUUUAUUUGUUUUCACAAAAAAUCAAUGAAUACGUCCUAGUGACAUGUUUUUGCCCCUCAUAUUGAAAAAUUUGUAGCUGUAUCAAUGUAUUUUUAGGAAUGCAGUAACUCUGAGUUCAUGUAAAUGGGAUAUUAUGGGACAACAAAAUGCAUAAUAUUCUACCAAAUCAAGUCCAUGUUCAGUUUAGCUAAAAUUGAGAUUUUUAGUAGAUUUUGAUAAAAGUUGUGAGUCUGAUGAAAUGUAUGGUUGAAAAUGAAUUUGAUAAAUAUUAUAAGUUUUAGAA